GCGUGAGCGAUGAAGGCCUUCGGGUCGUAAAGCUCUGUUGUCAGAGAAGAACAAGUACCGGAGUAACUGCCGGUACCAUGACGGUACCUGACCAGAAAGCCACGGCUAACUACGUGCCAGCAGCCGCGGUAAUACGUAGGUGGCAAGCGUUAUCCGGAAUUAUUGGGCGUAAAGCGCGCGCAGGCGGUUCUUUAAGUCUGAUGUGAAAGCCCACGGCUCAACCGUGGAGGGUCAUUGGAAACUGGGGAACUUGAGUGCAGGAGAGAAAAGUGGAAUUCCACGUGUAGCGGUGAAAUGCGUAGAGAUGUGGAGGAACACCAGUGGCGAAGGCGGCUUUUUGGCCUGUAACUGACGCUGAGGCGCGAAAGCGUGGGGAGCAAACAGGAUUAGAUACCCUGGUAGUCCACGCCGUAAACGAUGAGUGCUAGGUGUUGGGGGGUUCCACCCUCAGUGCUGACGUUAACACAUUAAGCACUCCGCCUGGGGAGUACGACCGCAAGGUUG
rnacentral:rRNA from 1 species